rnacentral:rRNA from 1 species
AUGAACGCUGGCGGCGUGCCUCAUACAUGCAAGUCGCGCGAACAGACGAGGAGCUUGCUCCUCUGACGUUAGCGGCGGACGGGUGAGUAACACGUGGAUAACCUACCUAUAAGACUGGGAUAACUUCGGGAAACCGGAGCUAAUACCGGAUAAUAUAUUGAACCGCAUGGUUCAAUAGUGAAAGACGGUUUUGCUGUCACUUAUAGAUGGAUCCGCGCCGCAUUAGCUAGUUGGUAAGGUAACGGCUUACCAAGGCAACGAUGCGUAGCCGACCUGAGAGGGUGAUUGGCCACACUGGAACUGAGACACGGUCCAGACUCCUACGGGAGGCAGCAGUAGGGAAUCUUCCGCAAUGGGCGAAAGCCUGACGGAGCAACGCCGCGUGAGUGAUGAAGGUCUUCGGAUCGUAAAACUCUGUUAUUAGGGAAGAACAAAUGUGUAAGUAACUAUGCACGUCUUGACGGUACCUAAUCAGAAAGCCACGGCUAACUACGU